rnacentral:sRNA from 1 species
UACUAACUAUGAUGGUCAAAGCUCAUAGAAGGUGGUAGGUUUUUGCCAUACCCUUUCUAAAGCUU